GACGAACGCUGGCGGCGUGCUUAACACAUGCAAGUCGAACGAUGAUCUCCCGCUUGCGGGGUUGAUUAGUGGCGCACGGGUGAGUAAUGCGUGAGUAACCUGCCCUUGACUCUGGGAUAAGCCUGGGAAACCGGGUCUAAUCUUGGUUACUACUUCCUGCCGCAUGGUGGGGGGUGGAAAGGGUUUUACUGGUUUUGGAUGGGCUCACGGCCUAUCAGCCUGUUGGUGGAGUUAUGGCUCACCAAGGCGCCGACGGGUAGCCGGCCUGGGAGGGUGAACGGCGACACGGGGAAGGAGACACGGCGCAGACGCCUACGGGAGGCAGCAGUGGGGAAUAUUGCACAAUGGGAGGAAGCCUGAUGCAGCGAUGCCGCGUGUGGGAUGACGGCCUUCGGGUUGUAAACCUCUUUCAGCCGGGAAGAAGCGGUAAGUGAGGGAACCGGAAGAAGAAGCGCCGGCUAACUACGG
rnacentral:rRNA from 1 species